GACGGAGGAUGCAAGUGUUAUCCGGAAUCACUGGGCGUAAAGCGUCUGUAGGUGGUUUAGUAAGUCGAUUGUUAAAGCUUGGGGCUUAACCCCAAAACAGCAAUGGAAACUGCUAGACUUGAGUAUGGUAGAGGUAAAAGGAAUUUCCAGUGGAGCGGUGAAAUGCGUAGAUAUUGGAAAGAACACCGAUGGCGAAGGCAUUUUACUGGGCCAUAACUGACACUCAGAGACGAAAGCUAGGGUAGCAAAUGGGAUUAGAUACCCCAGUAGUCCUAGCUGUAAACGAUGGAUACUAGAUGUUGCACGUUCGCCGCAGUGUCAUAGCUAACGCGUUAAGUGUUCCGCCUGGGGAGUACGCACGCAAGUGUG
rnacentral:rRNA from 1 species